AUGGAUGAAAGAUCAUUAGUAUGUUUAAACACAGGAGAAGGAACUAGAUAUAAUUUAACGGAGAAUACGGUAUCAAGUAUAGAUUUAACAUUAAUAUCAAAUGAUUUUGCUGAUUUAUGUGAAUUGAAAGUAAAUAGCGAGAACACAGUUGGGAGUGAUCAUUUUCCAAUUAUCUGUAAAAUAAAUGUAAAUAAUAAUCCAGAAUGUUUACUGCAAAAGAAAUGGUUGUAUGAGAAGGCAGAUUGGAAUUCCUUUAGUAAGCAUUGUGAAGAUAAUAAAGACUCAGUGGCUGAAGAUUCAGUAGAAACUUUUUGUGAUACAAUUACAAAUCUAAUAAUGGAAGCUGCAACAUUAUUUAUACCUCAAAGAAUAGCAGGUCAGAAAAUCAGAAAUAUUCCAUGGUGGAAGGAAGAAUGCAGUAAUGCAAUUAAAGAAAGAAAUAAAGCAUUUAAACAACUCAGGGAAAAUAUGAGUAUGAGAAAUUUGGUAGAGUAUAAGAAAGCAAGAGCUAAAACAAGAAAAAUAAUUAAGAAUGCGAAGAGAGAAGGAUGGAGAGAAUUUUGUUCUACCAUAGGAAAAGAUACUACUAUGGAUAAAAUAUGGAAUAUGUUAAGGAAUAUGAGUGGGAAAGGAAAGAAGUCGGCUCUAAUACCAGUUUUAAUUGAAGAAGAAAAAGUUGCAGUAAUAGAUAUAGAUAAAGCAAACAUGUUAGGUAAGGUUUUAGAAAGAGCACAUAGAAUAGAAUUGGGAGAAGAAUAUGAGCUAAGGAAAAAGGAAAUUUUAGACAAAAAUCUAGAUAUAAUGAAGAAAAGAAAUAGCAAUAGUAGCUGUAUGGAUAUAGAGUUUACGCUUACAGAACUGAAAGUUGCAUUACAAAAAUGUGCCAAUACCGCUCCUGGGAUUGAUAGGGUAAGUUAUAAACAUUUGUCAGAUAGUAUAUUGUUAAAGAUACUUGAGUUAUAUAAUAAAAUAUAUAUGGAAGGAAUUAUACCAAAAAUAUGGAAGAAAGCUGUAGUAAUCCCUAUUGUAAAGCCAGGAAAAGAUUCAACAAACCCAGGAAGUUAUCGACCAAUUGCUCUGACUUCAAAUUUAUGUAAAUUAAUGGAAAAGAUUAUAGUUCAGAGAUUAACAUAUGAUCUAGAGAAAAAGGGUAAAUUCAGUAAGUAUCAAUGUGGAUUUAGAGGUAAAAGAUCAACUAUGGAUGCAUUAAUCAAGGUUAUAGUAAUGAAGUAG
ensembl:lncRNA